UACGAAGGGGGCUAGCGUUGCUCGGAAUUACUGGGCGUAAAGGGAGCGUAGGCGGACAUUUAAGUCAGAGGUGAAAUCCCGGAGCUUAACUUCGGAACUGCCUUUGAUACUGGGUGUCUUGAGUGUGAGAGAGGUAUGUGGAACUCCGAGUGUAGAGGUGAAAUUCGUAGAUAUUCGGAAGAACACCAGUGGCGAAGGCGACAUACUGGCUCAUUACUGACGCUGAGACUCGAAAGCGUGGGGAGCAAACAGG
rnacentral:rRNA from 1 species